AUCUCUCAUCCCGCACAUCAACUAACCAUCGCAUUAGUUUAAUCUCUGAAACGUGACUACGGUCACAUUCAAGAUUAUUCUUAUUUUUGUAAACAGUGGACGGCUCCCUAGGCUUGCUUAUAGUCGUCCUCACAGUGUCGUCCGUAUCGCACUACCUCGGACUGACGCGAACUUUU
rfam:Setosphaeria turcica Et28A unplaced genomic scaffold SETTTscaffold_7, whole genome shotgun sequence.